GCUUUAUUUCCAGUCGGCAAUCAGGAGGCUCGAUCUAUAGGAAUAUAGGUUGUGCUUUCUGCUUUCUGCCGGGGAGGUAGGUGCGAAUGACAUAGGUGUACGCCGAUGUAUAUUCUCAUCUAUUUAACCGCGUAUAUAGUAUUUGCUUUAAUGCAUUAAUAAUUCAUGACUGAUGACAAGAGCA
rnacentral:misc_RNA from 1 species